AAGUCGUAACAAGGUUUCCGUAGGUGAACCUGCGGAAGGAUCAUUAACAAAUCCAUUUUUUCAGUCAUUUGUAGGCUUGCCUACUUUUGACCUGGAAACACCUGAUCUCUGGAAACAAAUAGCAAUAUUUUUUUUCAGAGGUCACCAUAACAAGUAACCUGGGGUACUUUAGAGUGGAGGCAUACUUCGGUGUGUCUUUACUUUAGAGCCCUUCUAAUAAUCCCUUUAUUUUACCAUUUUACCCCUUUAAACUAUUAAGACUGAUAUGACAUGAUUUAAUGUCACAAUUAAAUCUGAAAACAACUCUUAACAAUGGAUAUCUAGGUUCUG
rnacentral:misc_RNA from 1 species